CCCUUAGAUGUCCUGGGCCGCACGCGCGUUACACUGAUGCAUUCAACGAGCUUAUAACCUUGGCCGAGAGGCCUGGGCAAUCUUGUUAACGUGCAUCGUGAUAGGGAUAGAUUAUUGAAAUUAUUAAUCUUGAACGAGGAAUUCCUAGUAAACGCAGAUCAUCAAUCUGCAUUGAUUACGUCCCUGCCCUGUGUACACACCGCCCGUCGCACCUACCGAUUGGAUGGUCCGGUGAAGCCUCGGGAUUGUGGUUCUUGCCGCUUUAUUGUGGCGUGACCGCGAGAACUUGUCUAAACCUUAUCAUCUAGAGGAAGGUGAAGUCGUAACA
rnacentral:rRNA from 1 species